UAAGUAAUGAAGAAGAAUAUG
rnacentral:miRNA from 1 species